rnacentral:rRNA from 1 species
AGUGAACGCUGGCGGUAGGCCUAACACAUGCAAGUCGAACGGCAGCACAGUAAGAGCUUGCUCUUACGGGUGGCGAGUGGCGGACGGGUGAGGAAUACAUCGGAAUCUACUUUUUCGUGGGGGAUAACGUAGGGAAACUUACGCUAAUACCGCAUACGACCUACGGGUGAAAGCAGGGGAUCUUCGGACCUUGCGCGAUUGAAUGAGCCGAUGUCGGAUUAGCUAGUUGGCGGGGUAAAGGCCCACCAAGGCGACGAUCCGUAGCUGGUCUGAGAGGAUGAUCGGCCACACUGGAACUGAGACACGGUCCAGACGCCUACGGGAGGCAGCAGUGGGGAAUAUUGGGCAAUGGGCGCAAGCCUGAUCCAGCCAUACCGCGUGGGUGAAGAAGGCCUUCGGGUUGUAAAGCCCUUUUGUUGGGAAAGAAAAGCAGCAGGUUAAGACCCCGCUGUUCUGACGGUACCCAAAGAAUAAGCACCGGCUAACUUCGUG